rnacentral:rRNA from 1 species
UACGUAGGGUGCGAGCGUUGUCCGGAAUUAUUGGGCGUAAAGGGCUCGUAGGCGGUUUGUCGCGUCGGGAGUGAAAACACCGGGCUUAACUCGGUGCUUGCUUUCGAUACGGGCAGACUAGAGGCAUGCAGGGGAGAACGGAAUUCCUGGUGUAGCGGUGAAAUGCGUAGAUAUCUGGAGGAAUACCGGUGGCGAAGGCGGCAUCCUGGACCGGCAUUGACGCUGAGGAGCGAAAGCUAGGGGAGCAAACGGG